GACGAACGCUGGCGGCGUGCUUAACACAUGCAAGUCGAACGAUGAAGCUGGAGCUUGCUCUAGCGGAUUAGUGGCGAACGGGUGAGUAACACGUGAGCAAUCUGCCCUUGACUCUGGGAUAACUGCGGGAAACUGUAGCUAAUACCGGAUACUUUCACCGGGGGGCAUCCUCUGGUGAUGAAAGAAUUUCGGUCAAGGAUGAGCUCGCGGCCUAUCAGCUUGUUGGUGAGGUAACGGCUCACCAAGGCGACGACGGGUAACCGGCCUGAGAGGGUGGCCGGUCACACUGGGACUGAGACACGGCCCAGACUCCUACGGGAGGCAGCAGUGGGGAAUAUUGCACAAUGGGCGCAAGCCUGAUGCAGCAACGCCGCGUGAGGGAUGAAGGCCUUCGGGUCGUAAACCUCUUUUAGCAGGGAAGAAGCGAAAGUGACGGUACCUGCAGAAAAAGCACCGGCUAACUACGUGCCAGCCGCCGCCGUAA
rnacentral:rRNA from 1 species